rnacentral:sRNA from 1 species
GGUUUUUGGAGCCCUUCUCUCCUGUGUCCCUUCCAUUUUAAUUAUU